CUCAUGGAAUUAGCAUUUUUUAUGUUGCUAAAUUACAUAAUUAAUCCUCUAAAAUUGCAGCCCAAUUAUAAUUGUUUUAGUUUUUUUUUCUUUUUCUCUUUGCUUCCUCCUUCCGACAUUGAUGACGCUUCUUAUAUGAAAUUAGCAGAAAAUAAAAUUGUAACCUCUUUCUAACUUCUCAUAUCCGCUUUCUGAUUCAGUGAUGUAUCUCAUCUGCUUGGUUGUCUAAAUCGGUAGAUUUGAAGUCCACAAUCUCUAGAAUCUACCAAUAUCAUCAUACCAGAACUUCAAUCGGGUCUGCUAUUCCAAGUCUUCAAAUAGUUUCACUUGCAACUCAAGGAUUUCCGAGCCGUUUCCGGCAUAGGUAGGUUGGACUUCAGUAGUUGGCGCAACUCCAAACUGAGUCCCAACGACUCAACACGAGCUUGCAUCUGAGUGACAUCACCCGCAGUCUGAAUAGCCGAUUUCAAAUCCGACGAAGGAUAAAUUUGACGAAGACACGCCAUGAUUUCAGCUCGUCACGACCGUGCUCAACCACGGUUAUAACAGAUUCGAACCGGUAGGGUUGGUUUGUGGUGUCGUUCGGAGGGAUCUUAGAUCCAACGUAGUACUUCACUGUCAUCAGACAACUCAAAUUUAUGCUUAUUGUCCAUGGAUUCCUCUCUUAUGCUGUCAUUGCCUCACUGGAUCUGUGAUAGUUCUGAUCGGGUUCCAUUUGUUGUUCUUGCUGAAGGUUAUGUUAACUUUACUUGGCUUUAUCUCUUAUCUUGUUAUUACCGUUUACUAUUGCUUCACCUGCCCUAUAGGAUACGUUAUGGUUUCAUAUGCUUCUUGACCAUAGGGUUUACUUAUUUGCUUGUUCUGGAAGAUUUUUGUCGUCUAUAUGCUGCAUAUGUUGUUCAUUCGAUUGUGUAAUUUGUGUUUAGGCUCACAUAUACAUAUAGUCCUUUAAGUCUAUUUUAUUGUUUCAUUUGGUGUUUGGGUUCUUUCAGUUGUAUAACCUUAGGGUUUAGUGUUCUAUUUAGAGCGAGUUUCAUUUAUUUCUUGGGUUCCUUUGGUAAUUGUCCUUAGGGUAUAGUUUUUUUCUUAAUACAUGUGUUUCAUUUGGUCCUUGGGUUCCCUAGUUAUAAUCCUUAAGGUCUAGUUUUUUCCUUAAUACAUGUGUUUCAUUUGGUCCUUGGGUUCCCUAGUCACAAUCCUUAGGGUAUAAUUUUUUCUUUAAUACAUGUGUUUCAUUUGGUCCUUGGGUUCCCUUAGUUACAAUCCUUAAGGUAUAAUUAUUUUAUUAAUUCCUGUGUGUUUGAAAUGAAAGGGUAGGUUUCUCCAAGGAAUUGAUAUUGUUGCUCGACGAAAUAAACUCUGCAACUGAUCUGCAAGAAGCUUUUGAUAUUGUCGGAGUUCUGGCUGAUCUUGGGAAUGGAAAAGGUUGAGAGAAAGUUUUGGUUUUGGGAAUGAAGUAGAGCUAUGUGUGUUUUAUUUUGUUGUGUCUGUCAUUGAUAUUUGGGAUAAAUUGUCGAGAAUUUUGGUUGUUGUAAACACUCGUUUUAUCGUCUUAUCAAUGCAAAACACACAUAUUGCUCUUUGCUUAA